GAUGAACGCUGGCGGCGUGCCUAAUACAUGCAAGUCGAGCGAACAGACGAGGAGCUUGCUCCUCUGACGUUAGCGGCGGACGGGUGAGUAACACGUGGAUAACCUACCUAUAAGACUGGGAUAACUUCGGGAAACCGGAGCUAAUACCGGAUAAUAUAUUGAACCGCAUGGUUCAAUAGUGAAAGACGGUUUUGCUGUCACUUAUAGAUGGAUCCGCGCCGCAUUAGCUAGUUGGUAAGGUAACGGCUUACCAAGGCAACGAUGCGUAGACGACCUCAAGGCGAGGUUGCCUACACGGGAUGUGAGACUCAGCCGACACUCUGACGCGGGGCCACGGUCCAGACUCUUCCGGAAUGGAGGAGUGCCUGACGGAGCAAAGCCGCGUAAAGGAUGAAGGACUUCGGAUCGUAGAACGCUGUAAUUAUUAGGGUACAAAUGUUUAUGUAACUGUGCACAUCAUGACGGUACCUGGACAAAAAGCCACGGCUAACUACGUG
rnacentral:rRNA from 1 species